AUGAUCAGUAGCUGCAACACUGGAAAGAUGGCGGAGCAAGAGGAAAGGAAAAAAAUCCCUUUGGUUCCAGAAAAUCUCCUGAAAAAGAGGAAGGCUUACCAAGCCCUCAAAGCCACCCAGGCAAAGCAGGCACUUUUGGCAAAGAAGGAGCAGAGGAAAGGAAAAGGGCCCAGGUUUAAGCGACUGGAAUCGUUUUUACAUGAUUCCUGGCGGCAGCAACGCGACAGGGUGCGUCUCAGACGACUAGAAGUAAAACCUCAUGCCUUGAAGUUGCCGGAUAAACAUUCUUUGGCCUUUGUUGUACGCAUCCAAAGGAUUAAUGGGGUGAGCUCACUGGUGCAAAAGACCAUCGCGAGACUUCGCCUAAAGAAAAUUUUCAGUGGUGUCUUUGUUAGAGUCACCCCACAGAGCCUAAAAUUGCUGCGUAUGGUGGAACCUUAUGUGACCUGGGGAUUUCCAAAUCUGAAGUCUGUCCGGGAACUCAUCUUGAAACGUGGACAAGCCAAGGUCAAGAAUAAGACCAUCCCUCUGACAGAUAACACAGUGAUUGAAGAGCACCUGGGGAAAUUUGGUGUCAUUUGCUUGGAAGACCUCAUUCAUGAAAUUGCCUUCCCGGGGAAGCAUUUCCAGGAGAUCUCAUGGUUCUUGCGUCCUUUCCAACUCUCAGUGGCCCGUCAUGCUACCAAGAAUAAAGUGGGCUUUCUCAAGGAGAUGGGCUCACCCGGCUAUCGAGGUGAACACAUCAAUCAGCUCAUCCGCCAGCUGAACUAGACCCAGAAUAUCUGAAAACACAGUGCAUUGAGAGCAUGUGUUUUUGAGUUUUGGAAUUGUGAAAUAUCUUCAGAGAAGAUUAUUUUCACUGUAUCUUCAAAGACAAAGGGAAGAGUCAGGGAAAAGACAGUCGGUUAUGCUCAUGGCAGGAACCUCUCAUCACAGUCGAGUUCCAAGGAAAAAUUCCAGUGUUUUCCACUUUGGCUGCUGCCACCUCUGAAAUCACAUUCCAUGGAGAAAGGAGUCCUGCUUUGUCAGAUCUUCUAUCCUGAGGUGUUAAACAUUGGUGAAUGAAUGACUCAAGCAUGUGUAUGAGGAUCCCUAAGACUCUUGCAACAGUGGUCCAAGUCCAAAUGCAUACCUGAAUCUGGGUAUUCCCAGGGCUUUGUUUUGAAAAGACUUGAAAUACAAUUGGGAAGGAGAAUGCAAAAACUCAGCUGUCUCUUUGAAUCCAUGUUCCAAGUUUUCAUUGAUGGCUUUGAGAGCUCUCAGACAUGGCUGGCUCUACGUGCAUCUGGUGGCUUUUUAUCCUAGCCUGCAACCGGUUUAGUCCCUUUCUCUAGUUCAGGAUUUGAGAACAAAUGACCUCUUUGAUGGGUUCACACAUAUACUCAAAAUUUUGCUUAUAAUUUGUGCAUAGACUCUUCUCUCCAUGGACCUUUGCACUUCAUAUGAGGAAGUCCUGCUUUUCCCAGGGUUGGUCACCCAAGCCCUGAUCUUUCUAGUCUCUGGUUCCCUUGUCUUGUGGAAGAG